rnacentral:rRNA from 1 species
CCUACGGGGGGCUGCAGUGGGGAAUAUUGGACAAUGGGGGGAACCCUGAUCCAGCCAUGCCGCGUGUGUGAAGAAGGCCCUCGGGUUGUAAAGCACUUUCAGUGAGGAAGAACGCCUGGUGGUUAAUACCCAUCAGGAAAGACAUCACUCACAGAAGAAGCACCGGCUAACUCCGUGCCAGCAGCCGCGGUAAUACGGAGGGUGCGAGCGUUAAUCGGAAUUACUGGGCGUAAAGCGCGCGUAGGUGGCUUGAUAAGCCGGUUGUGAAAGCCCCGGGCUCAACCUGGGAACGGCAUCCGGAGCGGCGAGGUAAGGAGGCAGCGAGGGAGGUAAGGUCAGCGGGCGAGCGGGGAAAGGCCUAGAGAUCGUGAGGAAUACGAGUUGCGGAGGGGGCCUGUGGGACUGACACUGAGACUGGGGUGCGAAAGGGUGGGGAGCAAACAGGAUUAGAUAGACGAGUAGUA